rnacentral:rRNA from 1 species
UAGGGAAUCUUCGGCAAUGGGGGGAACCCUGACCGAGCAACGCCGCGUGAGUGAAGAAGGUUUUCGGAUCGUAAAGCUCUGUUGUUAAGGAAGAACGAGUGUGAGAAUGGAAAGCUCAUGCUGUGACGGUACUUAACCAGAAAGGGACGGCUAACUACGUGCCAGCAGCCGCGGUAAUACGUAGGUCCCGAGCGUUGUCCGGAUUUAUUGGGCGUAAAGCGAGCGCAGGCGGUUAGAAAAGUCUGAAGUGAAAGGCAGUGGCUCAACCAUUGUAGGCUUUGGAAACUGUUUAACUUGGGUGAAGAAGGGGAGAGUGAAAUUCCAUGUGUGGCGGUGAAAUGCGUAGAUAUAUGGAGAAACACCGGUGACGAAAGCGGCUCUCUAGUCUGUAACUGACACUGAGACUCGAAAGCGUGGGAGGCGAACAGG